CGGGUCAGCAGUGGGGAAUUUUGGACAAUGGGCGAAAGCCUGAUCCCCCCAGGCCGCGUGUGUCAAGCAGGCCUUGGGGUUGUAAAGCACUUUUGUCCGGAAAGAAAUCCUUGGUCCUAAUAUGGCCGGGGGAGAGCGGUACGGUAAGAAUAAGCGCCGUCUAACUACGUGCCAGCAGCCGCGGUAAUACGUAGGGUGCAAGCGUUUAUCGGAAUUACUGCGCAUCAAUCGUGCGCAGGCGGUUUAUUAAGACCGAUGCGAAAUCCCAGCGCUCAACCUGGGAACUGCAUUGGUGACUGGCAGGCUAGAGUAUGGCAGAGGGGGGUAGAAUUCCACGUGUAGCAGUGAAAUGCGUAGAGAUGUGGAGGAAUACCGAUGGCGAAGGCAGCCCCCUGGGCCAAUACUGACGCUCAUGCACGAAAGCGUGGGGAGCAAACAGGAUUAGAUAACCUGGUAGUCCCAG
rnacentral:rRNA from 1 species